GAAUGAAUGAUGCUAUUUUUCUAUUAAGUUUCUUAAAACAGACUUAUUUUUCACUCAUAUGACUUUCAAAUAAUUAUUUUGGCCCCUCAAGAACUAACUCCUGGCUGUUAUAUCCAAACUGGUUUGCCAUUUGAUAUUGUCUGAACACUUUUUUCAGCUUUUCGCAUGCCUGAUGUUGACUGGGGAGGUAUAUGUGCACUCAUGCAGAAGAAGUAGGAGUUUUGACAUCGAAUUUGGCAUUUGGAGAAGCUGAUCCGAAGUCCGGUGUUGGCAGUGUGUGAUCGACAACCCUUGUUUUGCCUCGCUACGCUCUAUUACCUUGUAGAAGUUGUGGAACUUGGACAUCUUUUCGCAUGCCUGAUGUUGACUGGGGAGGUAUAUGUGCACUCAUGCAGAAGAAGUAGGAGUUUUGACAUCGAAUUUGGCAUUUGGAGAAGCUGAUCCGAAGUCCGGUGUUGGCAGUGUGUGAUCGACAACCCUUGUUUUGCCUCGCUACGCUCUAUUACCUUGUAGAAGUUGUGGAACUUGGACAUGUUCUACUACACCAAAUCAGAACCAG